rnacentral:rRNA from 1 species
AAACCGGAGCUAAUACCGGAUAAUAUAUUGAACCGCAUGGUUAAAUAGUGAAAGACGGUUUUGCUGUCACUUAUAGAUGGAUCCGCGCCGCAUUAGCUAGUUGGUAAGGUAACGGCUUACCAAGGCAACGAUGCGUAGCCGACCUGAGAGGGUGAUCGGCCACACUGGAACUGAGACACGGUCCAG